AGCGAUUAGGAUGUCCUCCGUCUGCUAGUCUUCUUUGAUCCUUGAAUUCUCUGGAGCUCAAAUAGACAACAAAGCUUUGUGGAACUAGUUAAGUGUUAGCAUAAAUAUCUAGUCUUUAUCAUGUUGAGCCUCCUUAAUAAAUGUUACUCUCUUUGGUAGGAUCAUAAAUUUAUUUUUAUAUUUUCAUUUUUAUAGGACAGGAAUAUAUUUAUUUUAUUUUUACGCCACCACAGUGAAUGUACUUAUGGGUUUUAUGCUACGAUCAUACUCACAUGGAGCUUACUAUUUUUAACAUUUUUAUUUUCUUUUCAAGAUAGCAUGAUUAACUAACAAGCCAUUUAAGGAAAGUAAGUAAUUAAAGGGAAAAGGGAAUGCAGAAAGGAUAAAUAUGGAUAACUACCGAUUUUACCUUUCGGCGAGGAUUCAAUGUUUUAAGUCUUCUGAACAAGACUUCUCACUGUGUUCAUUCUUCAGGUGCGUCAUUUGAUUCAGGUGUGGACCUUGACGUCUGCACCUCUUGAUACGGUGUCACCCAUGUUCUUCGUUUGCCCAGCAGUUCGAAGUGCGGUGUUGGCAGUAUCUUGCUCAGUGUGUUUGUGCUCGUAGUGUACCUGCUCAUAG
rnacentral:lncRNA from 1 species